GCCCAGGCCAGAAUCUCAGAGAAGACCACAGGUCCCCGGUACACUUUGAUGGGGAAGCCUCCGCGUGGGAUCCCUGGGCCCUGAACACCCUCCUUUCUCACUGUGCCUCCCUCCCCUGCGAAGGGCGUCCUCAGCUGCUUCUGAAACCUGGGGGGCUGUGGUGGGAAACAGCCCGGACAGGCUGUUCUCAACACUCUCUACUGCAAACCACACACAGUUUUACGUCGCCAGGAAGACCCCACAUUUCUAUUCAAAAAGACGGUACCAGUUUCAGUUCCCGCCAACCUCGAAGGCAGAGACAAAAGGACGGUGCGCCCCUCCUGUAACUUCAUUUCUUCGAUGACUGCGAAGCCGAGGGCAGAGUCCACACCUGGGGACAGGGCUGCCACCGCAGCGGCCACCGCGUCCAACCCUCGCUCCUCCUCCCAGAGACAACCUGCGCUCUGCUCAGAAGCAGCACCUCCUCAUGCUGGACUCACUCGGGCCCACGGCCAAGGGGGCCUGGUUUUGGGGCCGGCGGGUUCUGCCUGAUGCUCAGAGGGUAACUAGAUGCUGAAAACUGUGAGUCUUUCUUCAACUCAGGGGAAUGUUUCCAGGGCAGGCCAGGCCUCAUUCACACAGGCCUCCGCGACAACUGUUCAGCACUGACUGAGGGUGAAGUGAAAUACUGAAAGCUGAGAGCCAGCGCCCUCACACGAAGGCUGGGACGGAACAAAAGCCCAGCAAGAGUCUUGCCCAGGCCUUUCCUGGGCCUUGAAGCAUGACGAGACCACCAAGGAAUUCUGAACAGGACCCGUUUAGGAUUAAUCAAGUUUUACUGGGGAUCUGAAAAAACUCCCCAGGCCUCCACAAACAAGUGGAGAAGGAACUCCCCAAACCUCCAUGAUUUAGCAGAAGACAAGAUAAGGGUAAACACCUGGGCCCAUUUAGAUCAAGUAAAUUUACUGAGGCUCCAGAAGAAGAUCUUCAGGACUCAGACCUCAGAGAUUAGAAGAAUUUAAUCAUGGACGUCUUUAGAUGAAUGCACACUUACACGUAGACAUAGAGCUUAGAAGGUGUGUAAGCUCUGGAAAAACUCUGUAAUCUGGAGUUGGUCUGGCGAUCAUUUCCAGGCCUUCUCGCUGUAACUAGUUACAGAAAUAAAACCUCUCUUCUUCCCCAGUU
rnacentral:antisense_RNA from 1 species